AAAUUAGGAGUAUAUAAUUGCAGGCCUUGAGAAAGCAGCCAUUAACUGUGUAUGGAGAUGGGAAGUAAACUCGAAGCUUCCAAUAUGUUUUUGAUUUGGUAGAAGGAUCGAUGAGGUUGAUGGAAAGGAAUCAUGUGGGUCCUUUCAAUUGUGGGAACCCUGAUGAAUCCACCAUGCUUGAACUAGCUAAGGUAGUACAAAAAACAAUAUAUCCAAAUGCAAAGAUAGAGUUUUAGCCAAACACAGAAGAUGAUCCCCACAAGAGGAAGCCUGACAUCUCGAAAGAAAAAUAACUUUUAGGAUGGGAAUCAACAGUCUUCCUUCGCCAGGGAUUACCUCGUAUGGUUGAUGACUUUUUACAAUGCAUAUUUGGUGAUGAUAAGCUCGAUUCUGGCUUAUAGAUAUUACUACAUGCUUUGUUUAGUUGACCCAUAAUCUGGUUAUGGAUGAAAGAAAUAUAAGUUGAAGAUGUGUACCACAAUUACUUAUACAGGCCAUGAUAACUCUAACUUUUUUUCAUUAAUAAUAUUUCAAACUAAGGUUCUCCCUCGAAAGAGGAUAUUAAGUUAGAAGGUGUGUUUUGUGUAAUAGUUCAAUCAAAGCAAAUGAUUUUGAAUUUUGAUGAUCAAUUGAGAAUAUAAGACAUUUUGCGUUUAAUAAAAAGAUUUAAUUUGCACCAUUUUGAUCUUGAUACAUAUGAGUUCUUCUAUGGUUAGUAGUAGUUGUAACACCUCAUAUCUUUGGACUAAGAGUAAAUCCACUAGACAUGUGUGAAUCAAUUUGAACCUGAAGAAAAUAUUUGUGUUAGGGAGUUACGGUUCAAAUCUAUGAUCUGUUUGGUGUUGAAAAGGAUGCAUGAUCGUAUCCAACACCGUGUUCGUGCCUAAUUUUCAAUGCUUCAUACCGUUCAUAAAUUAGAGUGUGGCAUAAAAAGAUUCAUAUGUUCUACCAAGGUCAUGAAAUUAUACGUAUUCAAUGUGAUGGCGUAUGCAACACAUCGCCUAUCUAAGCUGGAUGUGGUGGAGGUCGCGAUGCAUCCCCUAUUCCGACACAAGACACCAUGCGAUGUAAUGACCAUAGCGCCAACUUAGAUGAGGUGGAGGUCACGCACCGA